AACAACGCUGGCGGCGUGCCUAACACAUGCAAGUCGUACGAGAAAGUCGGCUUCGGCCGAUGAGUACAGUGGCGCACGGGUGAGUAGCGCGUGGGUAAUCUGCCCCCCGGUCAGGAAUAACCCGCCGAAAGGCGGGCUAAUACCCGAUAACACUGACGCUCCGCGGAGCGUCUUUCAAAGAAGGCCUCUGUUUACAAGCUUUCGCCGGAGGAUGAGCCCGCGUACCAUUAGCUAGUUGGCAGGGUAAUGGCCUACCAAGGCUACGAUGGUUAGCUGGUCUGAGAGGAUGGCCAGCCACACUGGAACUGAGACACGGUCCAGACUCCUACGGGAGGCAGCAGUGAGGAAUCUUGCGCAAUGGGGGAAACCCUGACGCAGCAACGCCGCGUGAGUGAGGAAGGCCUUCGGGUCGUAAAGCUCUGUCAGAUGGGAAGAAAUGGAUGGGGGCUAAUAUCGCCCACUCCCUUGACGGUACCAUCAGAGGAAGCACCGGCUAACUCCGUG
rnacentral:rRNA from 1 species